rnacentral:rRNA from 1 species
AACGAACGCUGGCGGCAGGCUUAACACAUGCAAGUCGAACGCUCGUCUUCGGACGGGAGUGGCAGACGGGUGAGUAACGCGUGGGAACGUACCCUUCGGUUCGGAAUAACCCGGGGAAACUCGGAUUAAUACCGGAUACGUCCGCAAGGAGAAAGAUUUAUCGCCGAAGGAUCGGCCCGCGUCGGAUUAGCUAGUUGGUGGGGUAAUGGCCCACCAAGGCGACGAUCCGUAGCUGGUCUGAGAGGAUGAUCAGCCACACUGGACUGAGACACGGCCCAGACUCCUACGGGAGGCAGCAGUGGGGAAUAUUGGACAAUGGGCGAAAGCCUGAUCCAGCCAUGCCGCGUGAGUGAAGAAGGCCUUAGGGUUGUAAAGCUCUUUCAGCGGGAAGAUAAUGACGGUACCCGCAGAAGAAGCCCCGGCUAACUUCGUGCCAGCCGCCGCCGUAAC